AUUGAACGCUGGCGGCAGGCCUAACAUAUGCAAGUCGAGCGGGGUUUUCGGACCUAGCGGCGGACGGGUGAGUAAUGCGUAGGAAGCUACCCGAUAGAGGGGGAUACCAGUUGGAAACGACUGUUAAUACCGCAUAAUGUCUACGGACCAAAGUGUGGGACCUUCGGGCCACAUGCUAUCGGAUGCGCCUACGUGGGAUUAGCUAGUUGGUGAGGUAAUGGCUCACCAAGGCGACGAUCUCUAGCUGGUUUGAGAGGAUGAUCAGCCACACUGGAACUGAGACACGGUCCAGACUCCUACGGGAGGCAGCAGUGGGGAAUAUUGGACAAUGGGCGCAAGCCUGAUCCAGCCAUGCCGCGUGUGUGAAGAAGGCCUCGGUUGUAA
rnacentral:rRNA from 1 species